UAAUACCAGCGUUGGAGUACCCAAACUCUACUAUAACUGAGAUUUUUUACAAAGACCAUUUUUUAAAGAACACACCUGGGCCACUUAAAAGAAUCAUGUAGGUGUCUCAGAGCUUCACUGCAUGUAGCACCUCUUAAAUCCAGCUUAUAAACACACACUGCUUAAAUUCCUGACAAGCACCAUAAAGGUUCAGACUCGCUGGUGUCAAAGUGCACCAGAAUGCGCACCAUACGUGGCUUAAUUUCUUGGAAACGCAACUGAAACAGGGUUCAUAUGUUUGACAGAAUCAUUCACUUCCUAGACUCCCAAACUUCCAAAUGAACAGCUGUGAAUAGCAUGUUUGCAUGAAAACAACAUUUCAAUAUUUGCAAUAAUAUUUAAUUUCUGAUUUAAUGACCGUUGUUUUGCGAUGGAUUGCUGGACACUUGGUCUGCAGGUACCCAUGUUGGUAGGUGUACCGACAGAAAUGUUAUGGGUUUUUGAGCCAAAUCACGAGCGCUCGACAGUACUUCCAUCUGACAGUGUCCAAUGAGAACGGAGAUUUAGGAUGGGUUCCGACGGUUGGAACUUGAUAACCAAGUAGCCUGGCAGCGUUAGCCCGACCCGCUAGCGCACGUCAAGAAAUCGCAAAAUGGCGGAGCGUGCGGCCCCCUGGGGCCCUGUCAGUCCUUAUAGUGGACAUUUGGAGGUUUCUCUGGCAUCAGAAGAGGGAGAAGGAGCUAAUGAACACGGCUGUCAGUGGCGUCCUAAGGGGUGUAUGGAGCAGGAGCUGGCCCCCCAGGACAGCAAUAUGUGACUGCAUUACCUCCCCCCCCAUCCUAAGAUCCGUUGGUUUUUGGUUAAGAGGUUCACUUUCCUCCUGACAUCCGGGCGAAAGUGGCCGACCCUGUGGUUCCGCCUCCUGUCUGCCGGCUGUAGUGUUUGUGAGUGUUCAUCUGCACGUAGGGAAAAACAUCAAAUAAAAUACAAAUACUGUAA